rnacentral:rRNA from 1 species
AUUGAACGCUGGCGGCAGGCCUAACACAUGCAAGUCGAACGGUAACAGGAAGCAGCUUGCUGCUUUGCUGACGAGUGGCGGACGGGUGAGUAAUGUCUGGGAAACUGCCUGAUGGAGGGGGAUAACUACUGGAAACGGUAGCUAAUACCGCAUAACGUCGCAAGACCAAAGAGGGGGACCUUCGGGCCUCUUGCCAACGGCUGUGCCCCGAUGGGAUUAGCUUGUUGGUGGGGUAACGGCUCACCAAGGCGACGAUCCCUAGCAGGUCUGAGAGGAUGACCAGCCACACUGGAACUGAGACACGGUCCAGACUCCUACGGGAGGCAGCAGUAGGGAAUAUUGCACAAUGGGCGCAAGCCUGAUGCAGCCAUGCCGCGUGUAUGAAGAAGGCCUUCGGGUUGUAAAGUACUUUCAGCGGGGAGGAAGGGAGUAAAGUUAAUACCUUUACUCAUUGACGUUACCCGCAGAAGAAGCACCGGCUAACUCCGUG